AAAGUCGUAACAAAGGUUUCCGUAGGUGAACCUGCGGAAGGAUCAUUACCUAGAGUUUGUAGACUUCGGUCUGCUACCUCUUACCCAUGUCUUUUGAGUACCUUCGUUUCCGUCGGCGGGUCCGCCCCUGCCGAUUUGGACAACAUUCAAAACCCAUUUUGCAGUUGCAAUCAGCGUCCGAAAAAACAUAAUAGUUACAA
rnacentral:misc_RNA from 1 species